CAGAGCCUGACGCGGGGCCUGAACCCACAGACCGUGAGCUCAUGACCUAAGCUGAAGUCGGAUGCAUAACCGACUGAGCCAUCCAGGGACCCCUAGAGCUCCUAUUUCUGUAACGCAAGGUUAAUUUUGACUAAAAGCUUUGGAGUUGACUCUUCCUGCCCUGUAGUCCCAUGGAGAGUGUCUGCCUCCUGAAUGUGCCUUACACUGGUUCAUUUCUCUCCAUCUUGCCUGCAGCCAGCAUGAUGGAGUUAGUUUUUGUUAAUCCCCAGCGCAAAAGCCUCUGGUGCUGUACUGCCCAGUGUGGUAGCCAUGGGUCACAGGUGGCUGUGUAAAUUAAGGUUAGUGAAGCUGAAACAAAACAUUCAGUUCUUCUGUACCAGCCAUAUUUCAAAUGCGUAAUAGCCACAUGUGGCUGGUGGCCACUGUCUUAGUACAAAACAGAACAUUCCCAUCAUCAUAGAAAGUUGGAGUGGACAGGGCUGCUUUCUCAAGCGUAUUUAAGAUGAAUUCUGGUAUCCUUGGUCGGCCUUCAUGAUCCCAGAUUAUUUAUCUCUUACAGCAAUUACCAAUUACUUUCCAGCCUCACUUCUGUCCCCACCCCCUGGCAGUUCUUGAACGAUGAAGCUCAGAGCCUUUGCAUAUACUGUUCCCCUGGCCCUAUUCUUCACUGGGCCAACUACUCACUUUUGGGGCUUGGCUUACAUGUCACUUGCCCUCCCCAUUCUAAAGUUAUAUUCUCAUUUUAUAAGCUUUCUUUUACCCUCUACUUUUCUGCUUCAGAAGAACAAUCCGUUAGCUGUAAUAUUUGUGUGGUUAUUUAUUUUAUGUCCAUGUCUCUAACAGACAAUAAACUUCCUGCAGGUGAAAUAGUGGUUGCCCUUUCACCACGAAACCCCCGAUGCCCAGGACAGUGCCUCACCCAGGUUAAUUCCAUGUAAAUAUUAACAUUGGAGUAAUCUAAAGUUCUAGAUCCUCUUGAGAGGCACGAAUAUGUUGGGUGAGUAAGUGAAAAUUUCAUUAAAAGAGGCAUAGCUUUAAAAGCAGUCAAGAGACCCCACAUAUUAGGGAGAUUGUUAUUUAUUUACGUUUAGGAUGUAAAUUGCACAAGGGUGGUUUGGAGCUGAACUAGUCCAUUGGUUUUCGAAUCACCAUCCUGACUUUGGUGAACACGUAGUUGGGGGUAACUGAGGCUAUAAAUUAAGGUGGAAGUCAUUUAAAGUUGUUGGAUAAAGGGGAUUGGCUGGAUUAGGACAGCCCUGGGGUUUAUGGCAGGCCACUGAGCUGGGCUUUGGUGGGUUGGUGCAGGCUGGUGAGACGUCUGCGGGGUGGACACGGUGAUCUGGUCUUUCUUGUUCUUAUUAAACACCCGGGUAGGAAAAGCUUGGGUCCAGCACCUCAUACUUUUCCACAGGCCUUUUGAAAAAAAUUUGGGGUUUUUUGAAAGGAUUUUCAUAAAAAAGAAAAAAAAAAAAACCCAAGAACAAGAAAAGUGAAUUUGCUAUCAAGAUGUCUAGUGCUCAGAUGACGUAUGAAGGGAAAGCCUCCCUGUGCCCAUUUUAGUGGCCCCACGCCCAACCCUGUCUGAAGGUUUUGCUCUAUUCCUAUAAGUCAGUUACAGGGUUUCACGUGUAUAUAGACAACAAGUAAUAAAAGCUACAACAACCUGAA